AAAAACAGCAAAAAAA
rnacentral:sRNA from 1 species